rnacentral:rRNA from 1 species
CCUACGGGGGGCAGCAGUGAGGAAUAUUGGUCAAUGGGCGCGAGCCUGAACCAGCCAAGUCGCGUGAGGGAAGACGGUCCUAUGGAUUGUAAACCUCUUUUGUCGGGGAGCAAAAGACGCCACGUGUGGCGUUCCGAGAGUACCCGAAGAAAAAGCAUCGGCUAACUCCGUGCCAGCAGCCGCGGUAAUACGGAGGAUGCGAGCGUUAUCCGGAUUUAUUGGGUUUAAAGGGUGCGCAGGGGGAGGAGCAAGUCAGCGGUAAAAGUGAGGGGCUCAACCCCUUAGAGCCGUUGAAACUGGUUUUCUUGAGUGAGCGAGAAGUAUGCGGAAUGCGUGGUGUAGCGGUGAAAUGCAUAGAUAUCACGCAGAACUCCGAUUGCGAAGGCAGCAUACCGGCGCUCAACUGACGCUCAUGCACGAAAGUGUGGGUAUCGAACAGGAUUAGAUACCCCUGUAGUC